AAUAGAUACCCCUGGUAGUCCACGCCGUAAACGAUGAGUGCUAAGUGUUAGAGGGUUUCCGCCCUUUAGUGCUGCAGCAAACGCAUUAAGCACUCCGCCUGGGGAGUACGGCCGCAAGGCUGAAACUCAAAGGAAUUGACGGGGGCCCGCACAAGCGGUGGAGCAUGUGGUUUAAUUCGAAGCAACGCGAAGAACCUUACCAGGUCUUGACAUCCUCUGACACUCCUAGAGAUAGGACGUUCCCCCUUCGGGGGACAGAGUGACAGGUGGUGCAUGGUUGUCGUCAGCUCGUGUCGUGAGAUGUUGGGUUAAGUCCCGCAACGAGCGCAACCCUUGAUCUUAGUUGCCAGCAUUAAGUUGGGCACUCUAAGGUGACUGCCGGUGACAAACCGGAGGAAGGUGGGGAUGACGUCAAAUCAUCAUGCCCCUUAUGACCUGGGCUACACACGUGCUACAAUGGAUGGUACAAAGGGCAGCAAAACCGCGAGGUCGAGCAAAUCCCAUAAAACCAUUCUCAGUUCGGA
rnacentral:rRNA from 1 species